GUGGGUGUAGUUCAAUCGGUAGAGCACCGGAUUGUGGUUCCGGGCGUUGUGGGUUCAAGUCCCAUCAUCCACCCCA
rnacentral:tRNA from 2 species